GCUCGUUUAGCGUAGUGGUUAACGCGCCGUUCUUAUACUCUCUUUCUUUUGAAAGAAUGUAUGCUAGAUAUGCGGAGAUCGUGAGUUCGACCCUCACAAUGAGCA